UACGUAGGGGGCGAGCGUUAUCCGGAUUCACUGGGUGUAAAGGGAGCGUAGACGGCCAUGCAAGCCAGGGGUGAAAGCCCGGGGCCCAACCCCGGGACUGCCCUUGGAACUGCAUGGCUGGAGUGCGGGAGGGGCAGGCGGAAUUCCUGGUGUAGCGGUGAAAUGCGUAGAUAUCAGGAGGAACACCGGCGGCGAAGGCGGCCUGCUGGACUGCGACUGGCGUUGAGGCUCGAAAGCGUGGGGAGCGAACAGG
rnacentral:rRNA from 1 species